rnacentral:lncRNA from 1 species
UAUACGACUCUGGAAAAGCUCGAGCUAUUGGAGUAAGCAAUUUCUCGUCUAAGAAGCUAGGAGAUCUGCUGCAGGUAGCUCGUGUUCCUCCUGCUGUUCUGCAAGUGGAAUGCCAUCCUGUCUGGCAGCAGCCUAAGCUACAUGCAUUCUGUGAAUCCAAGGGAAUUCAUAUAACUGUGAGUACAGAUAUGCCUAGCACAAAAGCAACAAACACCGAUUGGUGCUCAAAUUCACAAUUAUUUUUGUGAUGCCUGCUUCUACAAUUGUACUAGAUAAGUCCAACCAUCUAAAACAAAAUUAAAGAUGAAUGUAAAGGAAAAGCUAUGUGUUUAUGUUUAUUGGUUCUCAAACACUCAUCAUUUCUAGCAUAUGACCAGUGAGUUGCUUUUCAUUGUUUCAGGGAUACUCACCAUUGGGUUCCCCAGGCACCGGAACCAUCAAGAAAGAAGUCCUCAAGCAUCCAGUUCUGAAUAUGGUAGCAGAGAAAUUGGGCAAGUCUCCUGCUCAGGUAGCUCUUCGUUGGGGGCUACAAAUGGGUCACAGUGUUUUGCCUAAGAGUACAAAUGAAACAAGGAUCAAAGAGAACUUUGAUGUUUUUGAUUGGUCCAUACCUGAAGAAUUGUUUGCCAAGUUUGCUGAAAUUGAGCAGGUAAGUUUCUUACCCUCUUUUCGUGGCCGGAUUACUUUAGUGUCUGAUUCAAAAUAUGUAGGGUUCGGGUGUAGUUUGGAUUAUGUAUUGCUUGUUGUAUGUCUUCCAGGAGAGGCUGAUCAGAGGCAGCGGAUUCGUUCAUGACACAUUCGGGGCAUACA